UACGUAGGGUGCAAGCGUUAAUCGGAAUUACUGGGCGUAAAGCGUGCGCAGGCGGUGAUGUAAGACAGAUGUGAAAUCCCCGGGCUCAACCCGGGAACUGCGUCCGAUACUGGAAGGCUUGAAUCCGGGAGAGGGAUGCGGAAUUCCAGGUGUAGCGGUGAAAUGCGUAGAUAUCUGGAGGAACACCGGUGGCGAAGGCGGCAUCCUGGACCGGCAUUGACGCUGAGGCGCGAAAGCGUGGGGAGCAAACAGG
rnacentral:rRNA from 1 species